rnacentral:rRNA from 1 species
UUUCCGUAGGUGAACCUGUGGAAGGAUCAUUG